AGAGUUAAAGCUUUGGAUGUAAGCAAUGGCCUUUUAAGUCAUAGAAGUUCCUGCUUGAACUGACUCUU
rnacentral:tRNA from 1 species